UGUGUGUUCUCUCUAAGAAACAACUGAGUAUUCAGAUGCUGAUUUCACCUAUGAUUAUGAGUUAAUCAGAAGAGGUGGGCUGAUCUUUGCAGCUGUUUUGUUCUGUUUGGGCAUGGCUAUCAUAUUCAG